UGCAAGAUAAGCUAAUAAUUAAGCUCUUGGGCUCAUGACCCAAACAUGACUCACACUCUCUUGCAG
rnacentral:tRNA from 1 species